rnacentral:rRNA from 1 species
GGGGGGGGGGGGGGGGGGGGGGGGGGGGGGCGGGGGGGGGGGGGGGUUGGGGUCUGGUGACGGGGAGGGGCGGACGGGUGCGUAACGCGUAUACAAUCUGCCGUUCACUGGGGGAUAGCCCGAAGAAAGUUGGAGUCCUACGCCAUAGUAUAGUCAUCCGGCAUCGUGAUGCUAUUCCAGCUUAGGUGGUGCACGCUGAGUAUGCGGUCGAUUAGCUAGUUGGAGAGGUAACGGCUCCCCAAGGCGAUGAUCGAUAGGGGUUCUGAGAGGGAUGUCCCCCACACUGGUACUGAGAUACGGACCAGACUCCUACGGGAGGCAGCAGUGAGGAAUAUUGGACAAUGGUCGGAAGACUGAUCCAGCCAUGCCGCGUGCAGGAUGAAGGUCUUAUGGAUUGUAAACUGCUUUUGUAAGGGAAGAAUAAGGGCUACGCGUAGUUUGAUGACGGUACCUGACGAAUAAGCAUCGGCUAACUCCGUG